UUUGCAUCCCCUUACCAAAGGGAGAUUCUGGAUCAGUGGAUGAGGCGCCUGUGAUUGAGCCCGCGGUCGCGGGUUCGAUUCUUGGCAAUGACACCUUUUUUAACAUUUUUCAUCCAGUCCCUUUUAAAAAAAAAAAAAGAUUAACAAAAACGACGUCGUUGGACUCUAUUUUUUUUUUAAAGCAACCACAAAGGAAACUUAGUGGAGGGAUAUUAUUAAAAUAUAAUAGUCAACAAAAGUAAAAACCAAGACAAAAGCAAAAGAAUAGCCGGAACAAAUCCAGCCCAAAUGAAGUUCAGCAAAAACAACUAGAAACGUGAGCCAUUGGGGAUAAAAGAAUCCCUAAUUUCAAAAGUGUUAACAUUGUUCUUCACUUCUUUGUCAACUCAAUUGUGUUGCUGCCUUCGCCCAUGGCUUCCAAUUCCAAGUCUCAAAAGUCAGUGAAGAAUUAUUUUACCAAAGUUCCAAAAUCAAGUUUGGACUCUCAUGAUCAACCUAAUCUAGAAGAAAAUGUCAACCACUCAGAAGUACCAUUGCUUUCUUCUCAGGAAUUUGAUUUGAAUUCUUUAAAGCAUGAUCCGGGUGAAAGAACUCAAAUCUUGGACUUUCAUCCAAAUCAUCGUGAUGUCAUUCGAAGAGAAUACCUUAGGAGAGGUCCUUGUCAACCUCGGCUUAAAGAGUAUCCUAAAACAAAUGAAUAAGAGUUAUUUUAGUGGUU